rnacentral:rRNA from 1 species
GAUGAACGCUGGCGGCGUGCCUAAUACAUGCAAGUCGAGCGAACAGACGAGGAGCUUGCUCCUCUGACGUUAGCGGCGGACGGGUGAGUAACACGUGGAUAACCUACCUAUAAGACUGGGAUAACUUCGGGAAACCGGAGCUAAUACCGGAUAAUAUAUUGAACCGCAUGGUUCAAUAGUGAAAGACGGUUUUGCUGUCACUUAUAGAUGGAUCCGCGCCGCAUUAGCUAGUUGGUAAGGUAACGGCUUACCAAGGCAACGAUGCGUAGCCGACCUGAGAGGGUGAUCGGCCACACUGGAACUGAGACACGGUCCAGACUCCUACGGGAGGCAGCAGUAGGGAAUCGUCCGCAAUGGGCGAAAGCCUGACGGAGCAACGCCGAGUGAGUGAUGAAGGUCUUCGGAUCGUAAAACUCUGUUAUUAGGGAAGAACAAAUGUGUAAGUAACUAUGCACGUCUUGACGGUACCUAAUCAGAAAGCCACGGCUAACUACGUG